CUAAAAAUCAGGUAACACUCAUUUAUAUGUGUUUGGAAUUGUUACUAUUUGUUUCGUUUAUAUUCACUGCAACUAUAUUUAAAGACAAUUUUGAACUUACGGUGCCAAGUAAUGCUAAAAUUGGACAUAUUAUCACCAAAUUAGGCUGUUUAGAAGACGAUAUAUCAAUCAUACCGGAAGGAAGUCCACUGGAUGGACAACUAUUUUCAAAACUAUUUUCUAUUGAAAGUGGAAAUCUAGUCGUCAAAAGUGAUAUUUCAUUAUAUGAAGGAAC
rnacentral:lncRNA from 1 species